UGGUUUUGUUAUUCUUAUACAAUAUUGUACAUUUACUCAUUUAUACAAUAAUUCACAUAUUAACAAGUCUGAAAAAUGAAGAUAAGGAAGAUGAGGCCACUUUUUAUUUAAACUUAUAAAAAAGAAAAUAUUUCAAACUCAAGAGUUUAAAGGGAAAUCAGAUUUUUAUAAGAAACUAAUAAAUAAAUAAAUAAAUAAAUGAAAGAUUUCAGUUUGUGUUUGACUCUUCAAAUUUCAGCAAACUCAUAAAAAAAGAGGAAGGGACAUCACAGCUCACCAAAACAAACCCGUGGACCACAAAGGGUCAGCUUGCUGUGAACCGAUGAAUAGGAACAAUCCUUUUUCAAUUUCCGUUAUGCAGCAGCACUGAAUUCUGGGAGGGUGUGGCCAUGGAAACACAAAUGUAUGACUCACCAAUCAGUAAUUGAUCACAGUGGCAACCAUGGUUACACGUUUCUUAAGAGACGACGUGGUGAUUUAACAAUAAGAGCCUUCACAUACACCGUUCUUAUUUUGUAAAUACUAACAAUACCCAGGAGCCUCAGCUGAUAUUGCCAUGGAGACAAGGCCGCAAUGUUCCUGAAGGGUUCUACAAAGGGUUACCUUUAGCUUCUUAAAGCUCUUUGUUGAUGAGAUGCAUCUUGGGGGUUGAAGCAUUUUCUGAAUCCGGGAUUCAAGAUUAAAGACCCUAACCUGACAAUCAACCUGUGUGGGACAGCAGCAGGUGGGCGGGGCUUCAUUCUGGUACAAUGUUAAUGAGUUGAAGUAAUGAUUUUUCAUUUUGUCGGAUCAUUUUCUGAAACAAAUGAAAAUUUGAAAAAAAUCAAUAAAAAACUAUUUAAAAAAGAAAUGUUCGUAAAUGUGUGUCUGUGUGAGCAAGAAUAAAGGGGGAACAGUCUGAGUACUGGAGGGAAACAGACACGGUGAGAUGUCAAUGGUAAAGAUCCUCUAUCACACCGAAACCAAAAGUCCUGAAAGAAUCCCUGAACGCUGAUCUGAAGUCAGCACUGGGCUGCAGGAAGCUGAUUUGUUAACAUGCGGCGCAGUAACUGAAAAGGGGCGGGGCAAACGCAGAGAGGAGCCAAUCAUCACAGGUGCUGCCAGUCGAUGGCUACCAGCGUUUGAUUGGCCUCCUGAGCGUGACCUAUGACCUCAGCGAUGCCGUGCUGACGCCACAGACGCUCAAUCUUCCUGUAGCGCUCAACGCAGAGGUGGAGGGGGUUCCCCCGCCUGCAGGUAAACAAACAAACUAAUCAAUAAAUCAAUAAACAAAAGGUGGAGGGGGUUCCCCCGCCUGCAGGUAAACAAACAAACUAAUCAAUAAAUCAAUAAACAAAAGGUGGAGGGGGUUCCCCCGUCAGUAGGUAAACAAACAAACUAAUCAAUAAAUCAAUAAACAAAAGGUGGAGGGGGUUCCCCCGUCAGUAGGUAAACAAACAAACUAAUCAAUAAAUCAAUAAACAAAAGGUGGAGGGGGUUCCCCCGUCAGUAGGUAAACAAACAAACUAAUCAAUAAAUCAAUAAACAAAAGGUGGAGGGGGUUCCCCCGUCAGUAGGUAAACAAAUAAACUAAUCAAUAAAUAAAUAAACAAAGGGAGGGGGUUCCUCUGCCUGCAGGUAAACAAACAAACUAAUCAAUAAAUCAAUAAACAAAGGGAGGGGGUUCCCCGCCUGCAGGUAAACAAACCGAUCACUAUAGGAAAGCACCUACUUGAGGCCCUGGUCCGUCUCCCCGUAGUCGUCCAGGUACGGAGGAGGAUAGAAGCAGCCCUUUGUUUUACCUGCUACAAACAGCACCUGACUUUCUCUUACCCUGCACGCAACACACACAGACACACACACAGACACACAGUCAGAGUGUGUACAGUGUACAGUGUGUAGUGUGUGCAUCUGCAGUAGAGCACAGGGCCCCGUUCCUCGUACGUGGCUAGCUGCGUUAGCCGGAUAAGAUGACAAGGAUCAGGCUUUUCGGUUCAAAUCACCACAGCAACACAUCC
ensembl:lncRNA